UACGUAGGUCCCGAGCGUUGUCCGGAUUUAUUGGGCGUAAAGCGAGCGCAGGUGGUUUAUUAAGUCUGGUGUAAAAGGCAGUGGCUCAACCAUUGUAUGCAUUGGAAACUGGUAGACUUGAGUGCAGGAGAGGAGAGUGGAAUUCCAUGUGUAGCGGUGAAAUGCGUAGAUAUAUGGAGGAACACCGGUGGCGAAAGCGGCUCUCUGGCCUGUAACGGACACUGAGGCUCGAAAGCGUGGGGAGCAAACAGG
rnacentral:rRNA from 1 species